rnacentral:rRNA from 1 species
GACGAACGCUGGCGGCGUGCCUAACACAUGCGAGUCGAGCGAAUGAAGUUCCUUCGGGAAUGGAUUUAGCGGCGGACGGGUGAGUAACACGUGGGCAACCUGCCUCAUAGAGGGGAAUAGCCUCCCGAAAGGGAGAUUAAUACCGCAUAAGAUUGUAGUACCGCAUGAUACAGCAAUUAAAGGAGCAAUCCGCUAUGAGAUGGGCCCGCGGCGCAUUAGCUAGUUGGUGAGGUAAUGGCUCACCAAGGCGACGAUGCGUAGCCGACCUGAGAGGGUGAUCGGCCACAUUGGGACUGAGACACGGCCCAGACUCCUACGGGAGGCAGCAGUGGGGAAUAUUGCACAAUGGGGGAAACCCUGAUGCAGCAACGCCGCGUGAGUGAUGACGGCCUUCGGGUUGUAAAGCUCUGUCUUCAGGGACGAUAAUGACGGUACCUGAGGAGGAAGCCACGGCUAACUACGUG